GGGGGUAUAGCUCAGUUGGUAGAGCAAAUGACUCUUAAUCAUUGGGUCUAGGGUUCGAGUCCCUAUACCCCCA
rfam:Abiotrophia defectiva ATCC 49176 genomic scaffold Scfld0, whole genome shotgun sequence.